UACAGAGGGUGCGAGCGUUGUUCGGAAUUAUUGGGCGUAAAGCGCUUGUAGGCGGCCUGUCAAGUCGCGUGUGAAAUCCCCUGGCUUAACCAGGGAAGUGCGCGCGAAACUGAAGGGCUUGAGUGCCGGAGAGGGUCGCGGAAUUCCCGGUGUAGAGGUGAAAUUCGUAGAUAUCGGGAGGAACACCAGUGGCGAAGGCGGCGACCUGGACGGACACUGACGCUGAGACGCGAAGCGUGGGGAGCAAACAGG
rnacentral:rRNA from 1 species